ensembl:snRNA U1 U1 spliceosomal RNA
AUAAUUUGCAUACAAACUAUGAUCAUGAAUGUGGUUUUCCCGGGGUGAGGCUCAUCCAUUGCACUCUGGGUGUGCUGGUCCCUACAAUGUCCCCAAAUGUGGAAAACCCAACUGCAUAAUUUGCAUU